rnacentral:rRNA from 1 species
GUAAAGCGCGCGUAGGUGGUUUUUUAAGUUGGAUGUGAAAGCCCUGGGCUCAACCUAGGAACUGCAUCCAAAACUAGAUGACUAGAGUACGAAAGAGGGAAGUAGAAUUCACAGUGUAGCGGUGGAAUGCGUAGAUAUUGUGAAGAAUACCAAUGGCGAAGGCAGCUUCCUGGUUCUGUACUGACACUGAGGUGCGAAAGCGUGGGUAGCGAACAGGAUUAGAUACCCUGGUAGUCCACGCCGUAAACGAUGACAACUAGCUGUUGGGAGACAAGAUCUCUCAGUGGCGCAGCUAACGCUUUAAGUUGUCCGCCUGGGGAGUACGGCCGCAAGGUUAAAACUCAAAUGAAUUGACGGGGACCCGCACAAGCGGUGGAGCAUGUGGUUUAAUUCGAUGCAACGCGAAAAACCUUACCUACUCUUGACAUACUUGGAAGCUCUUGUAAUGAGAGUGUGCUUUUAGAGCCAAGAUACAGGUGCUGCAUGGCUGUCGUCAGCUCGUGUCGUGAGAUGUUGGGUUAAGUCCCAUAACGAGCGCAACCCUUACCCUUAUUUGCCAGCGGUUCGGCCGGGAACUAUAAGGGGACUGCCGGUGACAAACCGGAGGAAGGUGAGGACGACGUCAAGUCAUCAUGGCCCUUACGAGUAGGGCUACACACGUGCUACAAUGGGGAAUACAGACGGACGCUAAAGCGCGAGCUGGUGCUAAUCCUAAAAAAUUUCUCGUAGUCCGGAUUGCAGUCUGCAACUCGACUGCAUGAAGUCGGAAUCGCUAGUAAUCGCGAAUCAGCAUGUCGCGGUGAAUACGUUCUCGGGUCUUGUACACACCGCCCGUCACACCAUGGAAGUGUGUUGCACCAGAAGUAGGUAGUCUAACCUUCGGGAAGGCGCUUACCACGGUGUGAUCCAUGACUGGGGUGAAGUCGUAACAAGGUAACCGUA